UACGGAGGGUCCGAGCGUUAUCCGGAAUUAUUGGGUUUAAAGGGUCCGUAGGCGGGCUGUUAAGUCAGAGGUGAAAUGCUGCGGCUCAACCGUAUGCACUGCCUUUGAUACUGGCGGUCUUGAGUUAUAGUGAAGUGGCUAGAAUAUGUAGUGUAGCGGUGAAAUGCAUAGAUAUUACAUAGAAUACCGAUUGCGAAGGCAGGUCACUAACUAUUAACUGACGCUGAUGGACGAAAGCGUGGGUAGCGAA
rnacentral:rRNA from 1 species